AUUGAACGCUGGCGGCAGGCCUAACACAUGCAAGUCGAGCGAGCGGCGGACGGGUGAGUAAUAUCUGGGAAACUGUCUGAUGGAGGGGGAUAACUACUUGAAACGGUAGCUAAUACCGCAUACCAUCAGAUGUGCCCACAUGGGAUUAGCUAGUAGGGGGGGUAACGGCUCACCUCGGCGCCGAUCCCUAGCUGGUCUGAGAGGAUGACCAGCCACACUGGAACUGAGACACGGUCCAGACUCCUACGGUAGGCAGCAUUGGGGAAUAUUGCACAAUGGGCGCAAGCCUGAUGCAGCUAUGCCGCGUGUGUGAAGAAGGCCUUCGGGUUGUAAAGCACUUUCAGCGGGGAGGCGUUACCCGCAGAAGAAGCACCGGCUAACUCCGUGCCAGCAGCCGCGGUAAUAC
rnacentral:rRNA from 1 species